GACGAACGCUGGCGGCGUGCUUAACACAUGCAAGUCGAACGGAAAGGCCCUGCUUUUGUGGGGUGCUCGAGUGGCGAACGGGUGAGUAACACGUGAGUAACCUGCCCUUGACUUUGGGAUAACUUCAGGAAAAUGGGGCUCAUACCGGAUAGGAGCUCCUGCUGCAUGGUGGGGGUUGGAAAGUUUCGGCGGUUGGGGAUGGACUCGCGGCUUAUCAGCUUGUUGGUGGGGUAGUGGCUUACCAAGGCUUUGACGGGUAGCCGGCCUGAGAGGGGGACCGGCGACAUUGGGACUGAGAUACGGCCCAGACUCCUACGGGAGGCAGCAGUGGGGAAUAUUGCACAAUGGGCGGAAGCCUGAUGCAGCAACGCCGCGUGCGGGAUGACGGCCUUCGGGUUGUAAACCGCUUUCGCCUGUGACGAAGCGUGAGUGACGGUAAUGGGUAAAGAAGCACCGGCUAACUACGUG
rnacentral:rRNA from 1 species